rnacentral:rRNA from 1 species
UACAGAGGUUGCGAGCGUUGUUCGGAAUUAUUGGGCGUAAAGCGCGUGUAGGCGGGAUGGCAUGUCGAAUGUGAAAGCCCUCGGCUCAACCGAGGAAGUGCGUUCGAAACUACCGUUCUUGAGUAUCGGAGAGGGUGGCGGAAUUCCCGGCGUAGAGGUGAAAUUCGUAGAUAUCGGGAGGAACACCAGUGGCGAAGGCGGCCACCUGGACGAAUACUGACGCUGAGACGCGAAAGCGUGGGGAUCAAACAGG